GGCCAGACCCCAAGGAGACCUAACCCUAACCCUAGCCCCAACCCUAACCCUACUUUUAACUUUGUGAAUGGAAUUUUCCCAUGUAAUUUAUUGGGCACCCAAAAUAUGUCCGAAUGAAAAGCUGUCAUUUUCUCUUUCCUUGUAAUACCUCUAGGAAUCUCCGCAAAAGUUUAGUUUUCUGGCCAGACCCCGAGGAGGCCUAACCCUAUCCUUAGCCCCAACCCUAACCGUAGUUUAACUUUGUGAAUGGAAUUUUCCCAUGUAAUUUAUUGGGCACCCAAAAUAUGUCCGAAUGAAAAGUUGUCGCUUUCUCUUUCCUUG